GGUUGUUUGGCCGAGCGGUCUAAGGCGCCUGAUUCAAGAAAAAUUUCUUAACGCCCUCAGGGCGGAACACUCAGGUAUCGUAAGAUGCAAGAGUUCGAAUCUCUUAGCAACCA
rnacentral:tRNA from 1 species